CUGAUGGAUGGACCCGCGGUGCAUUAGCUAGUUGGUGAGGUAACGGCUCACCAAGGCCACGAUGCAUAGCCGACCUGAGAGGGUGAUCGGCCACAUUGGGACUGAGACACGGCCCAAACUCCUACGGGAGGCAGCAGUAGGGAAUCUUCGGCAAUGGACGAAAGUCUGACCGAGCAACGCCGCGUGAGUGAAGAAGGUUUUCGGAUCGUAAAACUCUGUUGUUAGAGAAGAACAAGGAUGAGAGUAACUGUUCAUCCCUUGACGGUAUCUAACCAGAAAGCCACGGCUAACUACGUGCCAGCAGCCGCGGUAAUACGUAGGUGGCAAGCGUUGUCCGGAUUUAUUGGGCGUAAAGCGAGCGCA
rnacentral:rRNA from 1 species